UGGGGAAUUUUGGACAAUGGGCGAAAGCCUGAUCCAGCAAUGCCGCGUGUGUGAAGAAGGCCUUCGGGUUGUAAAGCACUUUUGUCCGGAAAGAAAUCCUUGGCUCUAAUACAGUCGGGGGAUGACGGUACCGGAAGAAUAAGCACCGGCUAACUACGUGCCAGCAGCCGCGGUAAUACGUAGGGUGCAAGCGUUAAUCGGAAUUACUGGGCGUAAAGCGUGCGCAGGCGGUUUGCUAAGACCGAUGUGAAAUCCCCGGGCUCAACCUGGGAACUGCAUUGGUGACUGGCAGGCUAGAGUAUGGCAGAGGGGGGUAGAAUUCCACGUGUAGCAGUGAAAUGCGUAGAGAUGUGGAGGAAUACCGAUGGCGAAGGCAGCCCCCUGGGCCAAUACUGACGCUCAUGCACGAAAGCGUGGGGGAGCAAAACAGGAUUAGAUACCCCUGGUAGUCCACGCCCUAAACGAUGUCAACUAGUUGUUGGGGGAUUCAUUUCCUUAGUAACGUAGCUAACGCGUGAAGUUGACCGCCUGGGGAGUACGGUCGCAAGAUUAAAACUUAAAUGAAUUGACGGGGUCAUAGCUGUUU
rnacentral:rRNA from 1 species